rnacentral:tRNA from 1 species
GCCGAAAUAGCUCAGUUGGGAGAUCGUUAGACUGAAGAUCUAAAGGUCCCUGAUUUUUCGGCA